UGAAUUUUUAUGAUGAAAUACCAAUGCAACAUAGAGUCAAGCUCUGAGCCAAAAAUUGGCAUGGACGAGACUUGCUAUUCAUAAAUCUGAAAAAAAUUCU
rnacentral:snoRNA from 1 species